UCUAUAGUAUUCUAUGGUACGAGAUAACAUAAUUUUAACAGUACGAGAUAACACGAUGUCAACAAAACGAGAUAACGUGAUGGACGAAUUUUUCAACAACGCAGAUGUCUACGAAGAUCUUGGAUUCUGUAAAAAGGAAGAUACAUACACUAUGCUCGAUAAUGGGAAACGUGUUUCCAGUGCCAACACUAAAUCUGCUGUUAGGGCGAAAAAAAUACGCUUGAAUCUCGUAAAGUCUCCCGGGCUUACUCUAAUAUCGAAAUCAUCAAACAAUACUAUCACCUGGUAUUAUGUAAAAAAUAUUUACAAUAUUCAAAACUAUAUCUACUUCCUUGAUUCGAUUAAAUCCGAACUAUUCAAUUUACUAAAAUCAAUUGGGAGUAAAAAUCCGAUCAAGUUUAAUUUAAAGCUUGAGGUAACAUAUAAUAUACCAAAUGUCGAAUAUUCGUCGGAAAACCGUGCUUUUAAAACUUCGGAUAAGGCGAUUUUUUGUGAUACCGAAGUACAGGAAAUUGUUAAAGAGGCAUUUGCUAAAUUAAUGAAAUAACAAGACGAGUAUGCAAGCAAGGGUAGUGGGUUCACAUUACAAUGUAUAGACGGUUUAAUGUUAGGUUUAUAUAAAUAUACACCUAUGGGCGGCUCAUCCUACAUACAACUACCAAAUGCAAUAGAAAAUAAAAGAGCUACGAUUAACCCUCAAAACUUAGACAUGCAAUGCUUCAAAUGGGCAAUCCUCGCAAAACAUGUUACAGGAGAAAAUAAAUCUCGUGUCAGCGAUAAUUAUAUAAAACACGAAAAAAAAUAUAAUUUUGUAGAUAUAUCGUUCCCAACACCACUACAUCAGGUCAAAAUUUUUGAAAAAAAUAAUCCAAACGUGUCUGUCAAUGUUUACGGUAUCGAUAUGAAAUCGGCUGAACAACGAAAAACAUAUGAAUUAUGUAAUAAUUGUAACUUAUGUAAGACCAAGUUUUCUCGAGAAAAUCAUAAAGUGGCCGACCAUUGUCAUUUAUCGGGAAAAUUUAGACAAUCAUUAUGCAAUACGUGCAAUCUUAAACUUCAAACACCCAACUUCGUACCAGUAUUUUUUCAUAAUUUAUCAAAUUAUGAUGCACAUUUUAUCGUUACUCGUCUUGGUCAUGACACAAACUCUAUAUCGGUAAUACCAAACAGCGAAGAAAAGUUUAUCACAUUUUCAACUCCUUCACAUUAAGAUUUAUCGACCCACUAAGAUUUAUGGCCUCAAGUUUAUCAACACUUGCAAAAAAUUUAAUUACACCAGGAUUUGAAAAGUUUAGAGACAGCGCAAAAAACUUUUCUACACAGGAUAACCCGUACGACUAUACAGACGAUUGGGAUAAGCUCGAUGAAACCAGUUUACUGGCAGAAAAAGAUUUUUACAGUUCAUUGGAAGAAUCACAUAUAAAACAUGAGGAUUUUGAACAUGCAAAUACAGUUUGAAACCAUUUCACCUGCCAAACACUCGGGGAAUACUCGGAUCUUUAUUUAAAAAUCUAUGUGCUGCUGUUGACUGAUGUGUUUGAACAUUUCCGAGACCUCUAUUUGACCAUUAACCAUUUGGAUCCUUCAUUCUACUACACGGCACCAGGAUUUAGCUUUGACUGUAAGAUGAAAUACACGGGUCAACGUCUCGAAUUGAUUUAUGAUUAUGACAUGUUGUUAAUGAUUGAAAAAGGUAAAAUGAUUAUUUAUUUUUUUAAAUGUGAAAUAUUUCGCAAUGUCACAGUUCAUGCCACACAGAGGAUUUAAGUGGGUUUUACCCAAAGUAGAGGGGUUAAAUGAUUUGGACGACACAUCACCAAUCGGGCGGAUGUACGAGGUUGAUAUAUUAUAUCCAAAAGAACUUCAUGACAAGCAUAAUGACAUAUCUUUCCUACUGAAAAACGAUAUUCUGCCUGGCUCAAAAGUUGAAAAACUUAUGGCAACACUCCAUUCAAAGAAAAACUAUGUGAUUCAUUAUCGGAACCUACAGCAGGCCAUUAAAAACGGACUCGUUGUGGAAAAAGUUCACAGUUCAGUUUAAUUAGUCAGACUGGUUUAAGAAAUUCAUAGAAUUAAACACCGAGAUGUGAAAAAAAGAUAGUAAGACUUCGAAAAGGACUUUUUCAAACUUUUAAACAACGCUGUUUUCGGGAAAAACAUGGAAUCUUUACGUAAACGUUUGAAGAUGGAGCUUGUUUGUAGUGAAAAACGUUUGCAAAAACUUAUAAAUCUUACAACAUUCAAACACUGUACUACGUACGACGAGACUCUCGAUGCGGUAUCAUUGGAAAAUAAAAUUAUCAAGUUCUGCAAGCCUAUUUAUAUAGUUUUGCAGUGUUGGAAAUUUCUAAGACCGUCAUGUACGAUUAUCAUUAUAACGUUAUGCAAGCCCAUUAUGGAGAUAAAAUUAACCUCAUGUAUACUGAUACAGGUAA